AUUGAACGCUGGCGGCAGGCCUAACACAUGCAAGUCGAGCGAGCGGCGGACGGGUGAGUAAUGUAUGGGGACUGCCCGAUAUAGGGGGAUAACUACUGGAAACGGUAGCUAAUACCGCAUACUAUCGGAUAACCCAUAUGGGAUUAGCUAGUAGGUGAGGUAAUGGCUCACCUAGGCGACGAUCCCUAGCUGGUCUGAGAGGCUGAUCAGCCACAAGGGGACUGAGACACGGCCCAGACUCCUACGGAGGCAGCAGUGGGGAAUAUUGAACAAUGGGCUGAAGCCUGAUGCAGCCAGGCGGCGUGUAUGAAGAAGGCCCUAGGGUUGUAAAGUACUUUCAGUCGGGAGGCGUUACCGAAAGAAGAAGCACCGGCUAACUCCGUGCCAGCCGCCGCGGUAAUAC
rnacentral:rRNA from 1 species